rnacentral:rRNA from 1 species
UACAGAGACCUCAAGCGUUAUCCGGAAUCAUUGGGCGUAAAGCGUACCGAUAGGUGGUUUUACAAGUCAGAAAGUGAAAUCUCUCAGCUUAACUGGGAGACUGUCUUUUGAAACUGUAAAACUAGAGGGGCGAAAGAGGAAGCUGGAACGAACGGUGUAGUAGUGAAAUGCGUUGAUAUCGUUCGGAACACCAAUAGCGUAGGCAGGCUUCUGGGUGCCACCUGACACUGCUAGGACGAAAGCGUGGGGAGCGAAUGGG